CCCGGUCGAAUGAGCUCGCUGAGCUACCAUCCGCCGAGGUGGAGCUUGGCCCAGUAGACGUCGCUUUCCGUUUGUGCCUCCGUGCCCUCCUAGGCCUAACGCGUGCGGCGUUUUCGAUGGAGGUCCAGCCAAAGUCACAUACGUCGUGUUCGGGCACUUGAGCGAGUGCCGCGCAGGGCUGUGGCCCAUGUUCGUGAGGGUUGUGACGCGUGGUUUCCUUGGACGCAGGCAUCUGGACGCUGUUUUGUUAAGUAGCCUUUCGAUCUGACUCGUGGCCCUUGAGGGGCAUUUACAUCAGAACGCGCAAAUAAGGCAAAUUGGGUGCAAAUUUGCACUCGGGUUGCAAACAGGUCCCAUUUGCGCAACUACAUUGCAUGCACCACCAAAGCUCCUGUUGCUUAGCAGUUUGGAUAGCGACUGACCAACAUGUCCGCGCAGCGGCACGAUCGGCAUCGAAUCGACAACCCAAGGACCCCUCCACGUCCCCCACCCCGCUCCACCGCCGCGCCUUUACUCUCACAAUCUGCCGCAACACACGCAUCGCAGGAUACCAGCACACCAAAGCUAGCACCCCCGCGCACUUCAACCCUGCUGCUCCCCGCUACCUCAUAGCGCCUCCCCGACUGCCAGUCCUGUAGCGCCUCCCCGACUGCCAGACUGACGGUUGUAUGGUAGUCGAGGGGACCGGGCCCGAGACCAACGCCAGGUGGUUUGAGCUUGCAAGAGGCGAGGACCCAGCUAUCCAGCCACACAUCCUCAGUCCUCAGGGCAGCUACGCCUGGUCAAAGAAGUGGGCGCCUGGGCGGGACGCUUGGAGGAGGAGCUGCAGGAGCUCUACAUGCCAACGUCCAAGAAGGAACGCCGGGCUCUCCACAGCCAACACGGGUCCAAUAUGGAGAAGAUGACCGACCACCUUGGUGUUAUGGGCGUGACCGUCGCCUGACCGUCCUCCUUCCGAAGUUCUUCGAGCUCUACGCUCGGUAGGGGGCGCAGUAGAAGGAGUCAAACCGAACUUACAGGACGAGGCACGCGUACUCAGCCCUAAGCAGGUACCCAUCAGCACGCGUCCCGGGCCAGGCCCAGGCAACUGCCCACGCAGGGGUCCAGCUACCAGGCCUAGGCAACUGCCCAGCACAGCACACAAACAGCGCACACGCAUAUCAGGCAGCACUAACCUAACAGUGGUACAGAUGGGUGCUGGUUGCCGGAGCCCGCUGCUGUACUGUGUUGGACUACGGUAGUCCAAGCAAAAUGCAACAUUGUUACCGAGCGCCCACAAGCAGGAAUGUCUUGGAAAAGGGCUGAGCCCAAUCCCAGAGGACAACCGCCCACACCCUGAUCUGUGGUCACCACCAUUUACCCCCAUCACCACCUGGGGUCUGGGAUUUAGCUGCACCCUACGGGACUUCACCAACCUGCCUUGACACUGUCCCAUCGCACACCCAUCACCACCUUUGGGGCCGCCCACGCCCUGGCCUCAGUCUCAGACCUCAAUCAGCUCAAUCAAUCAGGCUCAAUCAGCCAAACACGGCGCUAUGGGCAGCUGUACUAAAUGUGGCAACUCAGCGAUGGACAUGCCAGUUCUGCCAUGUUUGGCAGAACUGGCAUACAUGGAAGACUGGCACACAUGGCAGACUGGCACACAUGGAAGACUGACACACAUGGUAGGACUGGCAUGUCCAUCGCCGAGUUGCCAGAUUUAGUACAACUGCCCAUAGCUCCACAGUCCAGUCAAAUCCAGUCCAAGCUCACGCAGCCCCACAGCCUCACAGCCUCACAGCCAUCGUGGCAAGGCCGCCAGCCCUGCCCGCUCCGGCUGUCAAGCCAGGGCUUGCCUAGCUUCGGCAGUGCUUCCAAGGUGGGGCCGCUGAGCCGCCUGAACCCUCCUCCUCCUCACCGCCCUCGCUGCCGCCCUCCUCCUCCUCACCGCCCUCGCUGCUGCCCUCCUCCUCCUCACCGCCAUCGCUGCUGCUCUCGCUGCCCGGGAGAUGCCUGCACCCGGACCCACAAACUCAAUCCGUUGUUGCAACGCGCGGGCCCCCCGCGGCUGGCUACGUCCAAGUGCAGGUGUCAGGGGACCCACAGACGGACAUAGCCGCCCGGUUGCCCCCCGCAGCCACUGCUGCCCUGCCACCUGUGGACGUAGCCGGCCGCGGGGGGCCCGUGCGUCGCAACAACGGAUUGAGUUUGUGGGUCCGGGGACUGGUUACCCACAGACGGACAUAGCCGCCCGGUUGGCCCCCGCAGCCACUGCUGCGGGCACCUCCUCCUGCAACACCGCCCCGUCAGCCCACACCGGCGGCCUCCCCGCCCCUGCCGCGGCCGCCGCCAGCCGCGACGGCGUCGGCGGGGGCCACGGGCCGGCUAAGCGCCGCCGGCCUGCGCCAGCUGGCGUCAGGAGCCGGAUGUUGCACGCCGUGUUGACAUCGCGGCCCUGCAACAACGAGGGCAGGGGGCCGGGGAAUAGGUAACAGGUGCCGUGGCAAGGGCGGGCUAGCCACGAUUCGGGACCGAGGCCGGGCUGACUGAGCUGACUGGGCGGGUGUUACGGCGGCUGUGACGGCUGUGACGGAUGGUGCAUGGUCAUGCAGCCCUGGUGCGAGGUUGGAUUUGAGCAGGAGGACAGGAGGGUUCAGACAGACAGGCAAUGGCCAUGUCUGAGCCGCACUGUCCACAUUGCCCAGUGUGUUCUCACCUGCAUGUUUUCGCCAUAGGGCCUAGAAGCACCGGCAGAACCUGUGGGUUGGGCAAAGGCAGAUGUUUCGUGUAGGAGGAGGUGGCGUCGGGCCGUCGGCGCUCCCAUCGAGGGGGACAUUGUGCCGGUGGUGUUACUCGCUCUACAAACUGGCCGUCUUUUCGGCACCUGUCCUCCACCCUAUCGCCGUUUUUGGGCCGGGCCCCCCACAGAACCUACCCCAUAUAGCACCGAGCUCCCACCCCGCGUCUUGCCCCACCACCGCAUGCCGCACAGCGCCGCCCCGCAUACAUACCGCAGGAGGCCUCGGCGCCGCCGCAGCUUCGCGGCCGGCAGUUUCGCGGCCCGCAGCUCGGGGGCCGGCAGCUCGGGGGCCGGCAGCUCCACCGCCGCCAACUCCGCGGCCGGAGGCACCUCCGCAGCCGGAGCCUCCGCAGCCGGCACUUCCGCGGCCGGCACCUGCGCGGCCGGAGCUUCCACGGCCGGCAGGUUCGCCUGGCCUAGCGCAGCUUCCAGCUGCGCGCGCAGCUGGAUAACUUCCGCCGAGAGCCGUUGGAGCUGGGCGAGCAGGAGCUUGCCAGUGGCCCGGUCGAAUGAGCUCGCUGAGCUACCACCCGCCGAGGUGGAGCUUGGCCCAGCAGACGUCGCUUUCCGUUUGUGCCUCCGUGCCCUCCUAGGCCUAACGCGUGCGGCGUUUUCGAUGGAGGUCCAGCCAAAGUCACAUACGUCGUGUUCGGGCACUUGAGCGAGUGCCGCGCAGGGCUGUGGCCCAUGUUCGUGAGGGUUGUGACGCGUGGUUUCCUUGGACGCAGGCAUCUGGACGCUGUUUUGUUAAGUAGCCUUUCGAUCUG
rnacentral:lncRNA from 1 species